UUUGUGUGUGUGCAUUGUGUGUGUGUGUGUGUAUAUAUAUAUAUAUAUAUACACACACACACACACAUACACACAUGUA
rnacentral:miRNA from 1 species